UUUGGUUGUGAUGGUAAGACAUGGAUGAGAUUUUCAGACUUUGCAACAGUGAAGACGAGACGCUAAGCGAGACACGCCACACCUUUUUGACAACUUUACUUGGGUUACUUAUAAGCGUCCGGAUACUUUCUUAACGAUUCGCCGUUACGUGGAAUAACUCUGCAGGUUUCCCCACGUGUGGGAUGGCUUUUGAAGAUCCUUGAAUUUCUGUUAAGUGAGCAAAAUUAGUAUUUUUCACGGCAUAUUUCAACAUUGUAAAAGGAACUAUCAGAAAUGGAUCAACAGGCAAGUGGAGGAGAAGAUCCAAAUAAGCCUUCCAAAAAGAAAUCAAACGAGGAUGAGAGUAAAAACAAGAAGCUGGCUUUGAAUUCUCUCAUCCUCAUCUUCACCAGAAACGGAGGCUACCCACCCAUCACUAACAAAUCAAAUGUGACCACAUGCUAGCAUCACCCCAACCAUCAUACCACAGAUAUCACAGAUGCAUGAACUUGCACCUGAAUAACACUUGGCCCUUUGUGGUGGGACAGGGCUAAUUUGACCAUUGUGAUGUGAUGUGAUGUGAUCAUUGUUAUACCUGUGCGAGACUACAGACUGUUAAAUUGUGUUUAACAGUGGGGGUAGAGCAGAGUUUGGGCUACAUGACUACAAACCCAAUUUGAGUAUAAAUAGUAAUGUAGCCUGUAGUUAUGAAUAGUUGAUAAUUAUCUGAAACAAUAUAUUUCUGUAGCAAUUUUAUCUGGUUAAGUGGAAUGUUGUUUGUCCAUAAUAAAUAAAAGGAAGUUGAUUGAGU
ensembl:lncRNA